GAAAUGCGAUAAGUAGUGUGAAUUGCAGAAUUCAGUGAAUCAUCGAAUCUUUGAACGCACAUUGCGCCCCUUGGUAUUCCAUGGGGCAUGCCUGUUCGAGCGUCAUUUGUACCCUCAGAACCCCUUGCGGGAUCUGGCGUUGGGGAUUGGCAUCCAGCCAGCCCCGAAAUCUAGUGGCGGUCCCUCCGCGACCUCCCCUGUGCAGUAGCGAUACCUCGCAGCGGGACAGUGGUCUGACCACGCCGUAAAACCCCCAACUUCUCAAGGUUGACCUCGAAUCAGGUAGGAAUACCCGCUGAACUUAAGC
rnacentral:misc_RNA from 1 species